GGAUUGUCGGGGCUGGGCGAGGCGUGGGGCUCUCAGGUCAUGGGGCGAGGUUGCUCCACCCCGUGAAAUUAAAAAAUGAAUAAAUACAUAAUUACAAAAGGGAAAGGCAGCAAAUCAGUCACAGACGCACGUACCAACCCUAAUCUUUUCCAAUUUCCACUUCCAUUUGGACCAUUUCCUUUCGUCUCUGCCUCUCACAGUCAGUCUCACUCUCACACCCGUCAGCCGCCGCCUCUCUCUCACUCGCUGUGUAGCUGUAACUUCAAUAGUUUUUAAUUAAACACUACCAUAGUUUUUCACCUCGAUCUCCAUAUGCUGUGUCAUCGUCGAGCUUAUUUUUGCCUACAGGUCAUAUGGGGUUUCCAUAUCUUCCUUUAUCGCUAACACCCGCCGAUUCCAAGCCUAAGAUGUAUGGCCCAAGUAGUGCUGGAAGUAUUGGAUUAGGACCAAUACGCGAGGAAGAUAGCACGACCGAUGUAAUGGAGAGUAAUGUCCUGCAAGAAUAUCUAGCUGAACCGUUAUCAAAUGCAGAAAAAAGGACAAUAAAUCUAAGUGACGAGUAGCGUGACAUUGGAGAACUAUCAUUUGGAAAGAGGAAAUUGACUUCAAUUGUGUGGGAGCACUACAAAAGACAGAAAAUCGGUAAGAAAAUGAAGGCUAUAUGCAAUCAUUGCAAGAAACAGUUAGAGGGUGAAACAAAAAGUGGUACAAUGUAUUUGCAUGAUCGUUUGAAGAGAUGUGUAUUCCGUUAUAAGGAUAAUACUCACCAAGCAACAUUAAAUUUCAAAAAGGAUAACAUGAGUGGCAUGGUCACAAUGGAUCUUACUCUUUCGAUCCAGAUAAGUAUAGAUAUAGUCUUUUGAAAAUGGUGAUUUUGCAUGAGUAUCCUUUAUCUAUGGUUGGUCACAUUGGAUUUCGAGAGAUCUUGUACGUCAACCAUUGUUUCUCUCAACACUUUGAAUAGUGACAUUUUGAAAAUCUAUGAAUACGAGAGAGUCAAAAAUAUGAUUGAGCUUGAGAAGAUUGAGAGUCAAAUUUCGAUCACUACCGACAUGUGGACCUUUUCUAAUCAAAAGAAAGGAUUCAUGGCUAUCAUUGCUCAUUUCAUAGAUGAUGCGUGGAACCUACAGAGUCGAAUCAUGAGGUGUAAUAAAACAUUGCAUUCACUUGUUUUCAUAAUAUACCAAAAUGAUAUUCUUUUAGUUGAUUUAAUUUGUUAUUGAAUGAACUCAGAUUUAUAUAUGUGCUGUGCCCACACACUGCUAAUGUGCUUUCAUAAACUCUAUUGAGCAGCUUGAUGGACUGGAAUAUUGAUCAUAAGUUAUUAAUUUUGACCGUAGAUAAUUGCACCACAAAUGAUGCAAUGAUCAGUAUUGUGUUAAGUUAGCUUUGUACCCUCUUGUACUGAAUGGUAAUUUUUUUCAAAUGAGGUGUUGUGCACAUAUAUUAAAUCUUAUUGUGAAGGAUGGGUUGAACAUUAUUGGUAGUAGUGAUGAGAAAAUUCGUGAUAGUGUUGCUUAUUGGACAGCCAUGCCGAAGAGAUCUAAAAAAUUUGAGCUCUUUGCACAUCAAUUGAAAAUUGAUUGUGAUUGUAAAACAAGGUGAAAUUCGACGUAUUUGAUGAUUAGUACUGCUUUGAUUUAUAAGGAUGCUUUUUUUGCAUUUGAAACAGAGGGAGUCACAAUAUAAAUGUUUACCUAGUGAUGGUGAUUGAGAUUAGCAAAAGAAAUAUGUGAGAAGUUAAAGUUUUUUUUUUAUUUUUUAGAUUACUGAAUUGUUUUCAGGAACAAAGUAUCCAACUGCUAAUCUCUUCUUUGCAAAUAUUUGUGAUAACAAACUGUCGUUGUAUGAGUGGCUUGAAUCUCCUUAUGUGGAAGUUCAAAUGAUGGCAACCAGUAUGAGGGAAAAGUUUAACAAGUAUUGGAGCGAUAUUAAAGGAGUUUUGGCUUUAUCAGCGUGUUGGAUCUAAGGAAUAAGAUGAUGUUAGUUAAGUAUUAUUAUCCUUGUAUUUUUAAUCACAACGCUACAAGUGAGAUUGACAAAAUAUAUCAAGCUUGUGGCAAGUUGGUGCACGAUUGUCAAAAAAAGAAUGAUUCAAGUGGGUCUGUAGCUCAGUCUUCUACUUCUUCUUGUCAAACCAAGACGUCAAAUGCUAAUAAUAAAUUAGAUCGCAUGGCAGAAUUUUAUAAAUUUGUUUCUAAUUUUGAAGCUCCUAGUAGUGUGAAAACUGAGCUUGAUACUUUUUUUGGAUGAGCCUAUAUUGCCUCGGUCGGAUGAUUUUGAUAUAUUGACAUUUUCGAAAAUGAAUGCAAUCAAAUAUCCGACUUUAUCUCGAAUUGCAAAAGAUAUUUUGGCAAUCUCGGUAUCUAUUGGGCAUCUGAAUCUGCCUUCAGUACUAGUGGUAGAUUUGUUAGUCCAAACAAAGAUAAACUUCAACACAAAAUUUUGGAGGCUUUAAUGUGUGCUCAAGAUUGGUUAUGGGCCGAUAUUCACGGUACGAUGUAUAUAAACAUUUGCUUUUUAUAUUGUUUCUUUUAUGAAUUCUCUUAUUACUAAUUAUUUUAUUUUAUUAACAGCGAAUUCUACGCCGCUACAUAUUUUGAAAGUUACUCCAAGAUGAAUGAUGAGGAUGUUGAUGAGAAGACCUACACGUAACAGAAUCCAGGCACCUUUCAGGGUACGCCUUCAAGUAUCAACCUCAAAAAAAGGUCGACGCUCGCAAGUGUGCUAGAUGGGAACCUCUUAAGCAAAAGAUGUUCAUAGCUAUCGUUAAGCAUGUUACUGCUAAGGGCCAUCGUCGAGGAAAGUGCUUCUCGUCAACAGGUUGGGAGCGCAUACGCAACUUGUUCAACCAAAAUGCCGGAAAGGACUGGACAAUUACCCAGCUUAAGAACCAUUGGGGCUCUAUGCGCACUGAACACAAACUACUGUUCGAGCUGCUGCAGAGCACGGGAAUCGCAUGCGGUCUCAGCAAAGGGGGCAGAAUAGAAGCACUAGACUAGUGGUGGAAGCAGAAAAUAAAGGAGAACCCUCGGUGCGAAAAGUUCAAGGACAACGUCAACAACGAAAUUUAGCACACGUACAACCGCCUAUUCGAAGGUCGUUGCGACUCCAUGAAGUAUGCACUCACACCCACUAAGCUAUCCCAACAUGGGUUAAAGUUGGCCUCCGCCACUAACACAGAUGACCCGAAUGACAAGUUACCUAUCAACGUCGAGACUACUGAUUUCAGCAAUAGACCGACACAAGGAAGAACGAACUCUUCGAUGAAUAUUUCUCAUCGUCGAAGCGACGAGAAACGUAAGGGCAAACAUGUAAAGGGGAAGCUGAAAAAGUUUGGAGCUAGGGAGGUUUCUGAGUCGGCGAAUAACCUCGCCAGUGCAUCGCGAGAGAUGGCCUCAGUGAUCCGUUUGAAAGAAGAGGGUCAAAUGACUCUCCAUGAGUGCAUCGUUGAUUUGCUUUCGACAGACCUUGUCACCACCGGGGAUGAGCUGCACAUGUUCGUGCAGUGGUUCUUAAGGAAUUUCACCAACCGUGUAGCGUACAGUGUAGCUAAGACUCUUGAACUGAGGUUCCGGUGGAUCUCGUAUUGCUUCGAACGAGACAAGAUGUCGAGUUUCGAGAGUCGGUAAUCAUAUGGGGAUGUCUUACGAAUGUGCCCAUUUUAUCGUUAGAUCGUCUAGUCAGCGUACUUACGGCCUGUAGUAAUCAGAAACUUUCCACGUACAUGUUCGCGAUAUUAUCGCGAUUUUCUAUGGCUUAUGCAUGUUUUCGUGUGAAGUUAAUGUAACAUACAUCUUUCUAACCGUUGUGCUCAAGAUUUCCAAAUCCACCAAUUUCGAAUA